rnacentral:rRNA from 1 species
GACGGAGGAUGCAAGUGUUAUCCGGAAUCACUGGGCGUAAAGCGUCUGUAGGUGGUUUAAAAAGUCUACUGUUAAAAAUUGAAAGCUUAACUUCAAAGAUGCCGUAGAAACUUUUAAACUUGAGGAUGGUAGGGGUAGAGGGAAUUUCCAGUGGAGCGGUGAAAUGCGUAGAUCUUGGAAAGACCACCAAUGGCGAAGGCACUCUACUGGGCCAUGACUGACACUAAGAGACGAAAGCUAGGGGAGCAAAUGGG